rnacentral:rRNA from 1 species
ACAAAGAGGCCAUGUCACCCUGCAGCCCAAGACCGGUUACUCACUGAAGCUAAGCAGGGCUGAGCCUGGUCAGUACCUGGAUGGGAGACCACUAGGGAACACUAGGUUGCUGUUGGAA